rnacentral:rRNA from 1 species
UACGUAGGGUGCGAGCGUUAAUCGGAAUUACUGGGCGUAAAGCGUGCGCAGGCGGUGAUGUAAGACCGAUGUGAAAUCCCCGGGCUUAACCUGGGAACUGCAUUGGUGACUGCAUUGCUGGAGUAUGGCAGAGGGGGGUGGAAUUCCGCGUGUAGCAGUGAAAUGCGUAGAUAUGCGGAGGAACACCGAUGGCGAAGGCAAUCCCCUGGACCUGUACUGACGCUCAUGCACGAAAGCGUGGGGAGCAAACAGG